rnacentral:rRNA from 1 species
GAGUAACACGUAUCCAACCUGCCGUCUACUCUUGGACAGCCUUCUGAAAGGAAGAUUAAUACAAGAUGGCAUCAUGAGUCCACAUGUUCACAUGAUUAAAGGUAUUCCGGUAGACGAUGGGGAUGCGUUCCAUUAGAUAGUAGGCGGGGUAACGGCCCACCUAGUCUUCGAUGGAUAGGGGUUCUGAGAGGAAGGUCCCCCACAUUGGAACUGAGACACGGUCCAA